rnacentral:rRNA from 1 species
AGAGUUUGAUCCUGGCUCAGGGUGAACGCUGGCGGCGCGCUUAAUGCAUGCAAGUCGAGCGUGAUCGUGGCUUCGGCCACAAUGAUAAAGCGGCAGACGGCUGAGUAACGCGUGAGUAAUCUGCCCUCCGGUGGGGUAUAACCUCGGGAAACUGAGGAUAAUCCCGCAUACGACCUGCAUCCCUUGGGGUGCAGAUGAAAGGCUUCGGUCGCCGGAGGAGGAGCUCGCGUCCUAUCAGGUUGUUGGUGGGGUAAUGGCCUACCAAGCCGAUGACGGGUAGCUGGUCUGAGAGGAUGACCAGCCAGAGGGGGACUGAGAACGGCCCCCACUCCUACGGGAGGCAGCAGCAGGGAAUCUUGGGCAAUGGGCGAAAGCCUGACCCAGCGACGUCGCGUGGGGGACGAAGGCCUUCGGGUUGUAAACCCCUUUUCCGAGGGAAGAGAAAGGACGGUACCUCGGGAAUAAGCCCCGGCUAACUACGUGCCAGCAGCCGCGGUAAUACGUAGGGGGCAAGCGUUACCCGGAAUCACUGGGCGUAAAGUGCGCGUAGGCGGUUGGAUAAGUCUCUUGUGGAAGCUCCCGGCUCAACUGGGAGAGGUCAAGGGAUACUAUUCGACUAGAGGACAGCAGAGGUAAGCGGAAUUCCCGGUGUAGCGGUGGAAUGCGUAGAUAUCGGGAGGAACACCAGUGGCGAAAGCGGCUUACUGGGCUGUAUCUGACGCUGAGGCGCGAGAGCGUGGGGAGCAAACUGGAUUAGAUACCCAGGUAGUCCACGCCCUAAACGAUGGAUACUAGGUAUGGGGGGUAUUGACCCCCUCCGUGCCGUAGCUAACGCGUUAAGUAUCCCGCCUGGGGACUACGGCCGCAAGGCUAAAACUCAAAGGAAUUGACGGGGGCCCGCACAAGCGGUGGAGCGUGUGGUUUAAUUCGAUGCUAAGCGAAGAACCUUACCUGGGCUUGACAUGUUGGUAGUAGGAACCCGAAAGGGUGAUGAUCCGGGGGUAACUCCGGAAGCCUUCACAGGUGCUGCAUGGCUGUCGUCAGCUCGUG